UUGUGACUAUGGUUUUGACAAUUCACAUGGAUAAGAACACAUACACCAUUAAAUCUAAGUGUCAUAAGGUUUCUCUCCGAUUCAUGAAAAUGAUGGUGAGGAAACACUUUCACUAAGUAGAUUUUAGCUAGAUAGCAAUUGUGAUAUUUGCAUUCUCAAAGUCGUUAGUGGAGCGCGUGUGGUUAACCGGCACACUAACAUGGACUUGUGAGAAGUGGCAAAAAGGUCUAAACAUUAUGAUUACGGCAUCCCUCUUCAUAAUUGUUUAGAUACACAAGUGUGCUAUCUAAGGGAAGGUGUAUGAUUUUGAUAAAGUCUUAUCAAAACAAUCUAGUAUCAGAAAUCUGAACUUUGGUAAGAAAGUCAAUGAAGUAUUGAUUUCUAGAAGUCCAGCUGAUUUCUGAGUACAUGUCAAAGCUAGUGGGAGCAUAAGUGUUAUGCUAAUAAUCAUCAUGUUAGUGGGAGCAUGAUAAUUAUGAUAAGUAUUGCAAGUUAGCAAUGUUAAUUAUAGAAAACAAAAGUUUCAAUUGGGAAAAAGUUGUUUUGCUAUAAUUAAGGGAGAGGAAAUUAUGCUUCAUCUCAAAUCUAUAAGCUUAGAUCGUGAGGUUUUAAUCAUUUAGUCAAGGAUAUAUAUGAAUUUCAUGUUGGAAUGGCUCAACAUAAGGAAAUUCUGUAUAUGGGUCCAUUAUUUGCGUUCUAAAAUUCGAUUAUGAUUACAGCAUCCCUUUUCAUAAUCUGAAUUAUGAGAACUUGGCAAAUAGAAAUGGAAAUAUUAUAGCAAAAGACUGGUUUAGUCAUUAUGUGAGACAUCAUGAAUCGUGUCCCAUAUGCUUCAGAUAUAGGAUUGAUUACAUGUGCUAUAUUCAUCCUUUCUAAAAUUUUCCAAAUGCCUGGGGCAUUAAGAAGGGAAAACGUCUAGAAUUGGAUAUGACUAAAAGGAUUAAACAAUUGUCGAGGACAAUCCAAGGUUUACCAAAGAUUGGUUGCUCAAGGACAGUUGGAAGUAUAGUGAUAAUUCUGGAAGGACCAUAUUGACAAAAUCUGUAAGCAUGCAACUCUUGUUCAGAACUG
rnacentral:lncRNA from 1 species